rnacentral:rRNA from 1 species
AAUUUUGGACAAUGGGGGAAACCCUGAUCCAGCCAUCCCGCGUGUAUGAUGAAGGCCUUCGGGUUGUAAAGUACUUUUGGCAGAGAAGAAAAGGUACCUCCUAAUAUGAGGUACUGCUGACGGCAUCUGCAGAAUAAGCACCGGCUAACUACGUGCCAGACGCCGCGGUAAUACGUAGGGUCCAAGCGUUACACGGAAUCACUGGGCGUAAAGCGUGUGUAGGCGGUACGGAAAGAAAGAUGUGAAAUCCCAGGGCUCAACCUUGGAACUGCAUUUUUAACUGCCGAGCUAGAGUAUGUCAGAGGGGGGUAGAAUUCCACGUGUAGCAGUGAAAUGCGUAGAUAUGUGGAGGAAUACCGAUGGCGAAGGCAGCCCCCUGGGAUAAUACUGACGCUCAGACACGAAAGCGUGGGGAGCAAACAG